rnacentral:tRNA from 1 species
GCCGAGGUGGUGAAACUGGUAGACACAUGGGACUUAAAAUCCCAUGAUCCUUAGGAUCGUGCGGGUUCGACCCCCGCCCUCGGUACAA